rnacentral:lncRNA from 1 species
AUUUAUUUAAUGCAAUUUAUAAAGAUACAUUUGGUUUAUUCAAGUCGAUCUAUAAAUACGGUAAAUCUAACAGUUAUAAUGUAUCUAAAUACGCCCUUAAUGAACAGACGUAAUUUAAUAUUCUUAUAUCAAGUUAUAUAUAAAUAUAUAACAUACGUACAUACGGGAGUCUUAAUGUAACUCUAAUCCUAUUUUUUGUUACGGCUUCAUCUCCAAAGAUAAAAAAAUUAGACUCAAAACUAUUUGCAAAACCAUAAACAAAAAUCUUCAUUUACAAUCCGAAUAUAAAAAUAUAAAAAUUAAAAUCAUGACAUAAUACGAUCUUAAUUUUUAUAGGCACCGUUUGGUUGGCGGUAUAAGCAGGGAUAAUGAAAGUUAUCCCCGCUAUUCCGCCAAAUGAAAUAAUUUUUGGCCGAGAUAUUUUAUCCCGAUCAAACCUUGCUAUUCCCGGCUAUCCCGGAAUAGCAAGAGAUUUACUAUUCCACCAUUUUGAUGGAACUGUGCUAUUCCAAUGUUUAAUUUCAAACUUUAUUAAAAUUAUAAAUGAAAUUAAAACUAAAUUAUAUAAAUAUAAUAUGUCAUAUAUUAUAAUAUAUUAUUUUUAUUCUAAAAUUAUUAAUUGUACUAUAUUAACACAUAUUAUUUAUAUUUAAGUAUUAAAUAUUAUAAUAAAUUUUAUAAUAAAUUAUAUUUAAAUAUUAUAAAAUAUUAUUUUUAUUAAAUUUAAGUUUCAGUAGAAUUUAAAAAAAUUAUUAAUUUAUUAAUAAUAAAAAAUUUAUAAAUUUAUUAUAAUAAAUUAUUUUUAUGAAUUGUUCCCACCUCUAUUCUUAUUUUCAAAAUUUUAAA